rnacentral:snRNA from 1 species
AUGCUCUUGUUGGUCUUCAUGCUACUAGUUAAUCUUCCGCCUUUUACUAAAGAUUACCGUGGAGAGGUACAUUACAAUGAGCCUAUAAAUAAUUUUUGGAAUCCUCAUCUGAUGGUGGGGU